rnacentral:piRNA from 1 species
UGUUUGUUACUGCAGGCUCUUGACCUUUC